rnacentral:rRNA from 1 species
UACGUAGGUGGCAAGCGUUGUCCGGAUUUACUGGGCGUAAAGAGCGCGUAGGCGGCCUGCUAAGUCGGACGUGAAAUCCCCCGGCUCAACCGGGGAACUGCGUCCGAUACUGGUGGGCUCGAAUCCGGGAGAGGGAUGUGGAAUUCCAGGUGUAGCGGUGAAAUGCGUAGAUAUCUGGAGGAACACCGGUGGCGAAGGCGGCAUCCUGGACCGGCAUUGACGCUGAGGCGCGAAAGCCAGGGGAGCAAGCGGG